AUUGAACGCUGGCGGCAGGCCUAACACAUGCAAGUCGAGCGGAUGAAGGGAGCUUGCUCCUGGAUUCAGCGGCGGACGGGUGAGUAAUGCCUAGGAAUCUGCCUGGUAGUGGGGAUAACGUCCGGAAACGGGCGCUAAUACCGCAUACGUCCUGAGUGAGGAAGUGGGGGAUCUUCGGGCCUGACGCUAUCAGAUUAUCCUAGGUCGGAUUAGCUAGUUGGUGGGGUCAAGGCCUACCAAGGCGACGAUCCGUAACUGGUCUGAGAGGAUGAUCAGUCACACUGGAACUGAGACACGGUCCAGACUCCUACGGGAGGCAGCAGUGGGGAAUAUUGGACAAUGGGCGAAAGCCUGAUCCAGCCAUGCCGCGUGUGUGAAGAAGGUCUUCGGAUUGUAAAGCACUUUAAGUUGGGAGGAAGGGCAGUAAGUUAAUACCUUGCUGUUUUGACGUUACCAACAGAAUAAGCACCGGCUAACUUCGUG
rnacentral:rRNA from 1 species